AAGUCGAGCGGACCGACGGGAGCUUGCUCCCUUAGGUCAGCGGCGGACGGGUGAGUAACACGUGGGUAACCUGCCUGUAAGACUGGGAUAACUCCGGGAAACCGGGGCUAAUACCGGAUGCUUGAUUGAACCGCAUGGUUCAAUCAUAAAAGGUGGCUUUUAGCUACCACUUACAGAUGGACCCGCGGCGCAUUAACUAGUUGGUGAGGUAACGGCUCACCAAGGCGACGAUGCGUAACCGACCUGAGAGGGUGAUCGGCCACACUGGGACUGAAACACGGCCCAGACUCCUACGGGAGGCAGCAGUAGGGAAUCUUCCGCAAUGGACGAAAGUCUGACGGAACAACGCCGCGUGAGUGAUGAAGGUUUUCGGAUCGUAAAACUCUGUUGUUAGGGAAGAACAAGUACCGUUCGAAUAGGGCGGUACCUUGACGGUACCUAACCAGAAAGCCACGGCUAACUACGUGCCAGCAGCCGCGGUAAUACGUAAGUGGCAAGCGUUGUCCGGAAUUAUUGGGCGUAAAGCGCGCGCAGGCGGUUUCUUAAGUCUGAUGUGAAAGCCCCCGGCUCAACCGGGGAGG
rnacentral:rRNA from 1 species